GAUUCGUUUACCCAAGAGGGAACAGUUUUGAGACCCCCCGGAUUCACUGCGGAGUGGCCGCAGAGGCCGGGGUCGGCCUUUGCGCCGUGGCUUCGGGUGUUGUGGAGGCGCACAGAGGGUCUCUCCUCAGGGAUGACAUCAUCCGUCCACCUCCUUGUCUUCAAGGACCACCUCCUCUCCAUGCUGAGCUGCUGCCAAGGGGCCUGCUGCCCAUCUACACCUCACGAGGGCACUAGGAGCACGGUUUCCUGGAUCCCACCAACAUACAAAGCAGCCACUCACUGACCCCCAGGACCAGGAUGGCAAAGGAUGAAGAGGACCGGAACUGACCAGCCAGCUGUCCCUCUUACCUAAAGACUUAAACCAAUGCCCUAGUGAGGGGGCAUUGGGCAUUAAGCCCUGACCUUUGCUAUGCUCAUACUUUGACUCUAUGAGUACUUUCCUAUAAGUCUUUGCUUGUGUUCACCUGCUAGCAAACUGGAGUGUUUCCCUCCCCAAG
ensembl:lncRNA MEG3 maternally expressed 3